CCUACGGGUGGCUGCAGUGAGGAAUAUUGGUCAAUGGCCGGAAGGCUGAACCAGCCACGCCGCGUGAAGGACGAAGGUGCCAAGCAUUGUAAACUUCUUUUGCCAAGGGACAAAAUCCGGCUCGAGCUCCUUACCGAGUGUACUUUAGGAAAAAGCAUCGGCUAACUCCGUGCCAGCAGCCGCGGUAAUACGGAGGAUGCGAGCGUUAUCCGGAUUUAUUGGGUUUAAAGGGUGCGUGGGCGGACUUUUAUGUCAGCGGUAAAAGCCCGGGGCGCAACCCGGCGAGCCGUUGAAACUGGCGGUCGUGAGAGGGCGAGAGGUAGGCGGAAUGCGCAGUGUAGCGGUGAAAUGCUUAGAUAGUGCGCAGAACUCCGAUUGCGAAGGCAGCAUACCGGCGGCGAUCUGACGCUGAGGCACGAAAGCGUGGGUAUCGAACAGGAUUAGAUACCCGGGUAGUC
rnacentral:rRNA from 1 species